UUAAUCAAGGGCUUAUUCUGAUAAUUAACCAAAAGACAUGCAACUGUGUAAAGUUGAUUGAUGCUGCCUGUGAGUGAAAGGGGGAUUUCUGUACUAAAUAUUUUAUGCUCCUUCACUCUGCGGAUGAGGCGUUCAACGUGGACCCUAAGUCUGGCAAUAGACUGAGUCUUUGUAACCUCUUGCCCUGACAUUUGUGCUCUCUUCGAUAAGAAGGCAGGUAUGUAGACUUUGCAGGGCACACAGUCUUCUACAAGGAAACCCUUGUCAACUAUAAUGGCCAGAGCAGGGUUCAAAAAUGGCACAA